GUCUGGAUCUCAGCCCUGGGGCCCCUUCUGUGGAUUCUCUACCUCAGACCUGUGGGAGGAGCUACUCGUUGGCUCCUGUAUUCUUUAGAUUUCUCCCUACCUCUUACGAGCAAAUCCCUCAUUAUGCCAAUUCCCCUUUGCAGCUGGCGGUUCUUUAGACUCAGUGCUCUCCCUUCACAUGACUAUGGGUCUUCUCUCCUGCUUAGGCCCUGAUGGGUACGACAUCAUUUCUGCUAUACUCUCUUGGUGGAAGGAGUCGAGAGCCCACCUGGAUUCAAAGGACUGGGACAGAGACCCCACCUCUCGAUGGGAGGAGUGUCGAGUGUUUGCAGCAGCUGCUGGAACCACCCUGACUGCGGCAGGGCAAAGAACGGGGUGGUGCCCCCCUGGACGCAGCCGCUGUGCUCCCUGCAGAGGCACCUCGCCACCGCCAAGAGCGACAAUCCCCUGCAAACUGCACCGCCAGCAAACUGCACCGCAGGCCUGCGUCGGGGGGCUCACGGCAGCCUGGUUCACAGACUCUCGGGAGAAAAAUUCCGACGUACAGGACCUGUUACCCAGCCGUGCAUCUCCUCACCUGCAGCAGGCAGGCUCUUGAGGAAUGAGACCUGGGAACUUCCGGAGGAGGCUGUGAAUGUGGCUGGAGGGUGUGAAGCUGUUCUGACUUUCACAGCGGAGUCUGUCCCACAAGAUGAGUCAGCGGGUGUCCAAAGCAAAGUUGCCCCUCCAACAUUCUGCGAGCCUGGGGCACCGAGCUGUCCGGGGGUCCUGAGCACCGGCCCUCGUCAGCAAGGCGGCCCUGUCUCUGCGGCGAGCACUGCGGCCUGCAGCGGCCAGGUGAGGCCAUUCUCCAGUUGUACCUGUAGGUCUCACAUUUAG
rnacentral:lncRNA from 1 species